UACGUAGGGGGCAAGCGUUGUCUGGAUUUACUGGGCGUAAAGAGCGCGUAGGCGGAAUGGUAAGCGGGGCCGGAAAGCCCCCGGCUCAACCGGGGAAGGGGCCGCGAACUGCCAUUCUUGAGGGGGAGAGAGGAGAGCGGAAUUCCUGGUGUAGCGGUGAAAUGCGUAGAGAUCAGGAGGAACACCCAUGGCGAAGGCAGCUCUCUGGCUUCACCCUGACGCUGAGGCGCGAAGCGUGGGGAGCGAACGGG
rnacentral:rRNA from 1 species